UGCAGCCAGGACCUUCUCGCCAUGUCGCGGAAACGCUGCGUGUUUCGGUGCGAAAGCAAAACCUCUUUGUUUAGCCUUCCGAAAACGGAUGAAAUUAGGAACCAGUGGUUACUGUUUAUUUAUAACGCUGUUCCCGAUGAGUACAACCCGAAUGUCUGCUUAUGCACAGAGCAUUUCACCGAGGACAGCUUCCUGAACCUGGGCGAGUACAACGCAGGCUACACACAAAGACUGCUCCUGAAACCCGGAGCGACUCCCACUUUAUUCGGACAGUCUUGCGUGUCUGAAUCAGAGCCGAGUACAUCUCAGCAGGGCCAGGGUUCACAGCAGUUCUCCACUCUAUCCAGAAGCCGUCAUGUGGGAUGUCAGACGGACGGCGUAGAGACGAGAUCAGUGGGCACACUGCCUUUAGUGUCGCCAAAGAUGCGAUCAGUUGGCACACAACUGUCCAUGGGUACACUGAAGGGCACGCAUGUACGCAGCAAAGGCACCCAGGCUACGGUUUCUUGUCUGGAUGUAGGCACUGAAACCGCCCCCAUCUCAUCAACACCCAUAAACACCCGUGCUUUCAGACCACGUAAGAGACCUCGUCUGGAGGAGGAGGACUGAGACGGGCGUUUCUGAAAUCAUGAAAACCCAUGACUCCGCGUAUACACCAGGUGACUCGGAGGAGAGGAAACCCACUGAUGUCCGCAGCUACUUGGGCCUUGUUUUUUCAACUUGAAAAGAUCUCCAAGGCCAUGCAGCUUGAGAUGAUGCAGUAUAGUAUGUUCAGGAGACAUGCUAGGAACUUCUUGGAGCUUGCUAUAAUAUACAAGUGGAACUUGGACAGGAAAAAGGUGGCCACAUGCAACCACAUCCAAAACGUCUAUGUCCGUGAAAACCCUGUCUUCCCGAAGUUUGAACAUCCAGACAGUUUUUAGGGAUCCCAAAAACUGGUUCCACCGAGUGUAAAAGGUCCUGAACAAGAAGAGAGCGCUGUAGGAUGUGGAAACACUCAGUCAUCACUACCAGACAUCUUUGCUGGAGGCCUUCCACGGCGUGAUCCUGUGUUUUGCCCCCAGGACUGUGGUUUUCUCUUUCAUUGCAAUGUUGUGCAGGUUGUACCUUGCGGCUGUGCAUUACAGUGAAAAUGCAGACCGUGAACAGGCAACAUCAGCGGGACAAGCAGUGUACCCCUUCCCAGGUUCCUGUCCUCACAGUUUGAAAAACCUUCAAAGGAGGGAGUUAUUGUCCGUCCACGUCAAGGAGUGGUCGAAAACCAGCAAACUGUCCAUCCGGAUCAGGAAACUCCAGAUAUAGCCUCAGCACAACACAGGACUGGAGGACUACGUAGCCCCAGCUGAUCAAUCUUCGAUAGGUGGCAUAACGGUGCCGUCUGUAAUAAGAAAGUGGUAUCAUGAACAUAAAAUGUCCUAAGAACAUACUCUUCUUUUACUCUGCACUUCAAAGGUCCAUAGUCCACUCAGUAAAUGUAUGAGUUAUCUGAAGCGUGUAAGGAUUCAAACAGUUCGCUUCGGAGUUUUAUAACAUUGUAUCUGAAAGAAUCUGGCUCGGACUGAUAGGGUGAAAACGUAGAAUUGCUUUAGAAGCUUUGGAGGUUGGAGCUAACCUAAGGAGUGUUACAUUUCCAACUCACGUUUGAGGUUUUUGGCCAAUCACAAUGUAACAGGUCAGCUGGCCAAUCAGAGCACUCCGGGCUUUUCAGAACGAGGGGCUUUGCAGAAAUUGGAGCAUUUCAGGCAUCCUGGGAAUAGAGUGAACACCUCUUCCUCUUCGCUCCUCUGUAACUCCUCCCAACCAGCUACAGACGGAUAAAACCUCUCACCGUCUGCACGUUCCUCUGUCUCCUGAACACCAGCUACUCACAUGACUUCCUGAAUACCGUAUAUGGAGUUGUUCCUCUCUUACACUGAUAUGCUUCUUGUAUGCAAUUAUGCCCUUCUGCCUAGUGAAUCAAUAGUUACCCAUUGUCUCUGUUGUGUGUCAAGCCUGAUAUAUAGUCUGCAUUUCUUUGAAUAAAUCAGAGCGCUUGCCAUUUGAGUUUUGUGUAUCUGUGUGUUAUUUGGUCAUCUCUCCCAAGGCCUUUCACACACAAUUCCAUCACAUCAUCAAAAGGUUUUGUUUGAGAUUGUGGCAGAUGUAAAGGAGGGGAAUUUGUACGCAUGUCAGGUUUUUUGACAAGAAACACUUCCAUGUAGGAUACACUGUGUAUCCUUGCUCCUCACUCCUCGUUCCUCGCUGUAAAUCAGUUGAAAAAAAACCUGACCUCCAACGACACCAGACAGAGGAGAAUAGAGGAUACUGUACAUCUGAGGACAUGAAGCAGCAGGCGGUAGCUCACGUUAACCCAAGUGACUGUUAUGCACUCCAUCUAGAAGAAUCAACAGAUGCAUCUGAUCAUGCUAUCCUGAUUGUGAGACCCUUAUCGAAAUUGAAUCACGAGUUUCCCCGUUGAUUUGCACAGGCUGUGAGUUCAGCUCCGUUUCUGCUAAACGUUUACGUAUUUAAUAGUUUAGAAUUUUUACAUAUAGUGUACAAUUUGUAAUUUGAUAUUUGGGUCAGUUUGUAUUUGUUAGUUAAAUUGCACUUACUCAGGAUUAUGUUUAUGCAUUUAUACAGUGGCCCAUUUCCUUAAUAAUGUCGAAUAAUUGUACACUUGAUUAAAAAUAUGCAUUGUAUAUUCUCCAUUGUAAAUAAUUGAGGUACAACGUUAAGAACUUGAUAAGUGUAACUUAAUUUACUUCCUGUUAUUUCACGUGGUAAAAGAGUACCUUAUAACUUUACACAAGAAAUUAUUAUUGGUAUGAAUAGCAUUAAUAUUUCUCCAUUUAUCUCCAUAUGAUAAUUUUAUUGUAGUGCUGGGUCACAACUUGAGUCCAACAUGAUAUUUGGGUCCUGAGGCAAAACCAGCUGAGAACCACUGGUCUAGGGUUAGACCUGUGGUCGAUAUCUGUUGUGUGAGAACUAGCUAGUGGAUAAGAAUUGGCAAACGAUCCCAUUGGUAGGAAAAAAAAAAAAGAAACAAUCAAAAUGAAAAUCAUAACGCUAGACCAGUGGUUCUCAGCUGGUUUUGCUUCAGGACAGAAAUUUAAUAUUGGACUCAAGUUGCGACAAAACACUGCAAUAAAAUUAUCUACAUCACAGGACUGCUGAACACUCAAGAAGCACGUGCUAACUGGGGAUUCGAGCUCCCAACACCAGGGUGAAUGCUCUUCUGUUGCAAAAAAAAAAAAAAAGACACUCCAAACUAUACUUAAACCAGUAAUGUUACCAGCAAUAAUGAGAGUUCCAAUCUCACAGUCUGUCAUCCGUUAAUUUUGUAUUUUCCAUGCAGCUUCUUCACUCAGUAUUGCGCAACUUCUAGCUCUGGUUUUGAGUUCCUCCAGUACUGGAGUCACCAAAUAGAAAGAUUGUGGCAGUGUUUUCAUGUUAUCGGCCUUUCGGAUGAAGCAGACUAAUCUCAGUGGACCAGGAAGUAAGUGAAGUACUGGGG